rnacentral:rRNA from 1 species
GGACUACAGGGGUUUCUAAUCCUGUUUGCUCCCCACGCUUUCGCGUCUCAGCGUCAGUAUCCGUCCAGAGGGCCGCCUUCGCCACCGGUGUUCCUCCUGAUAUCUACGCAUUUCACCGCUACACCAGGAAUUCCACCCUCCUCUCCGGUACUCGAGCUUCCCAGUUUCCAGUGCACUUCCGGGGGUAAGCCCCGGGCUUUCACACCAGACUUAAGAAGCCGCCUACACGCGCUUUACGCCCAGUGAUUCCGAACAACGCUCGCACCCUCCGUAUUACCGCGGCUGCUGGCAC